UACAGAGGUCCCGAGCGUUGUCCGGAAUCACUGGGCGUAAAGGGCGCGUAGGCGGCCUGGUAAGUAGGGGGUGAAAUCCUGCGGCUUAACCGCAGGGCUGCCUUCUAAACUGUCAGGCUCGAGCACAGUAGAGGCAGGUGGAAUUCCCGGUGUAGCGGUGGAGUGCGUAGAGAUCGGGAAGAACAUCAGUGGCGAAGGCGGCCUGCUGGGCUGUUGCUGACGCUGAGGCGCGACAGCGUGGGGGAGCAAACAGG
rnacentral:rRNA from 1 species